UUGAAACCAAGAUCAGGGUACUUCCGUGGAAAGGGAACUGCCUUGCCUGGCUUCAGCAAAGGAAGACAUCAAUUAGAGCAUCAAAGCUUAAUACGUGAGCAACAAAAGAAAAUUCAGGAGCAACAAGAAUUAAUUAAGGAGUUGCAAGAGAAUCAGGAAAGAACUACCAAACAAUUAGAAGAGACUCAGGAAGCAACAGCAAGACAAUUACAACAACAAAAAGAGGAGACACAACGUGCAAUGAAUGCAAUGAAGGAAGAAUUACUCAGAGCACUUGGUAAUAGAGUUGCAAGUUAAACAUCAAAUAUUUCCAGGUUAUGUUGGAAAAGUAUUAGUAAAUGCAUGGAGAAAGUGUGCAGAUGAUAUGUAGUAUAGGUUUUAUUUUGCACAAUGACUACUUGUUGUACAUUGGUGGGAUGACUAGAAAAUUAGCCUUUUGGAACAAAGAUGGAUGUAAUCUUUUGGGAGAAGUCAUGUUUAAUGUUGACUUAGACUAUUAGAUGUAUAUAUUUAUCUAAUGUUUUGGAUAUAAUCACUUGUGUUAUGUUAAAUAUUACACAUGUUAAAUAGAUAUUAACUUAUUAGCAAUUUACCUA